rnacentral:rRNA from 1 species
GGAUAACCUACCCUUAGGACCGGGAUAACCUUGGGAAACUGAGGAUAAUACUGGAUAGGCAAUUUUUCCUGUAAUGGUUUUUUGUUUAAAUGUUUUUUCGCCUAAGGAUGGGUCUGCGGCCGAUUAGGUAGUUGGUUAGGUAAUGGCUUACCAAGCCGUUGAUGGGUACGGGUUGUGAGAGCAAGAGCCCGGAGAUGGAACCUGAGACAAGGUUCCAGGCCCUACGGGGUGCAGCAGGCGCGAAACCUCCGCAAUGUGAGAAAUCGCGACGGGGGGAUCCCAAGUGCCAUUCUUAACGGGAUGGCUUUUCUUUAGUGUAAAGAGCUUUUGGAAUAAGGGCUGGGCAAGACCGGUGCCAGCCGCCGCGGUAACACCGGCAGCUCUAGUGGUAGCAGUUUUUAUUGGGCCUAAAGCGUCCGUAGCCGGUUUAAUAAGUCUCUGGUGAAAUCCUGUAGCUUAACUGUGGGAAUUGCUGGAGAUACUAUUAGACUUGAGACCGGGUGAGGUUAGAGGUACUCCCAGGGUAGAGGUGAAAUUCUGUAAUCCUGGGAGGACCGCCUGUUGCGAAGGCGUCUAACUGGAACGGUUCUGACGGUGAGGGACGAAAGUUAGGGGCGCGAACCGGAUUAGAUACCCGGGUAGUCCUAACUGUAAACGAUGCGGACUUGGUGUUGGGGUGGCUUUGAGCUGCUCCAGUGCCGAAAGGGAAGCUGUUAAGUCCGCCGCCUGGGAAG